rnacentral:rRNA from 1 species
AAUGAACGCUGGCGGCGCGCCUAACACAUGCAAGUCGAACGGCAGGAAGGGGCUUGCCCCUUCUGAGGGUGGGGGACUGGCGGGUAACACGUGGGUGCAUCACCUUCUAGUUGGGGAUGGCUAUUAGAAAAAGAAGGUAAAACCUAAUGUAACAGUACAUGUAAGAGGGGGACGAGGAAAGGAGCAAAGGUUUCGCGAAAAGAAUGGCUCGCGGCCCAUUAUGCUGGUUGGUGAGGUAACGGCCCACCAAGGCGAUGAUGGGUAUCCGGCCUGAGAGGGUGAACGGACACAUUGGGACUGAGAUACGGCCCAGACUUCUACGGGAGGCAGCAGUGAAGAAUAUUCCGCAAUGGACGAAAGUCUGACGGAGCGACGCCGCGUGGAUGAAGAAGGCCGAAGGGUUGUAAAAUCCUUUUAAGCCUGAUGAAUAAGAACAGUAGGGAAUGAUUGUGCGGUGACCGUAGGGCUUGAAUAAGCACCGGCUAAUUACGUG